GUGCUCACUUAUGAAGCACAUGAACAUUGGAAUAGCAGAGAAGAUUAACCCCUACAUAAGGAUGAUGUGCAAAUUCAUGAAGCAUUUCAUGCCAUU
rnacentral:snRNA from 1 species